rnacentral:rRNA from 1 species
UACGGAGGGUGCAAGCGUUAUCCGGAUUCACUGGGUUUAAAGGGUGCGUAGGUGGGCAGGUAAGUCAGUGGUGAAAUCUCCGAGCUUAACUCGGAACUGCCGUUGAUACUAUUUGUCUUGAAUAUUGUGGAGGUAAGCGGAAUAUGUCAUGUAGCGGUGAAAUGCUUAGAUAUGACAUAGAACACCAAUUGCGAAAGCAGCUUACUACACAACGAUUGACGCUGAGGCACGAAAGCGUGGGGAUCAAACAGG